rnacentral:ncRNA from 1 species
UUUUCUUGAAAAUAUUGCCCAGAAGUAUUUCUUGCAUGAGCAACAAGAAAAACUAAAUGGACUACACGUCAAUUAAUUAGUACAUUAUUAAGAUUUAUUUUAAGUCAUGAAAUUCAACUUCAACAAUUAGUAGCAAUGACUCGCUCGAAUGAGGAGUGAAAAUUGAAGAAGUGGUGCUUCCGUAGGAGAAAUCCUUAGACUUGGAGACUCUUUUUUAAGAGAGAUUAGUUGGCUACAAGAG